rnacentral:misc_RNA from 1 species
UAUGAAGAACGUAGCGAAAUGCGAUAAGUAAUGUGAAUUGCAGAAUUCAGUGAAUCAUCGAGUCUUUGAACGCACAUUGCGCCCCCUGGUAUUCCGGGGGGCAUGCCUGUCCGAGCGUCAUUGCUGCCCUCAAGCACGGCUUGUGUGUUGGGCCCCCGUCCCCGGUUUCCCCCGGGGACGGGCCCGAAAGGCAGCGGCGGCACCGCGUCCGGUCCUCGAGCGUAUGGGGCUUUGUCACCCGCUCUGUAGGCCCGGCCGGCGCCAGCCGACACCCAACUUUAUUUCUAAGGUUGACCUCGGAUCAGGUAGGGAUACCCGCUGAACUUAAGCAUAUCAAUAAGCGGAGG